CCUACGGGUGGCAGCAGUGAGGAAUAUUGGUCAAUGGCCGGAAGGCUGAACCAGCCAUGCCGCGUGAAGGUCAGUGCCCUAUGGGCGUUAAACUUCUUUUAUAAAGGAAUAAAACGAGGCACGUGUGCCUUUUUGCAUGUACUUUAUGAAUAAGGAUCGGCUAACUCCGUGCCAGCAGCCGCGGUAAUACGGAGGAUCCGAGCGUUAUCCGGAUUUAUUGGGUUUAAAGGGAGCGUAGAUGGGUUGUUAAGUCAGUUGUGAAAGUUUGCGGCUCAACCGUAAAAUUGCAAUUGAUACUGGCAGUCUUGAGUACAGUUGAGGUAGGCGGAAUUCGUGGUGUAGCGGUGAAAUGCUUAGAUAUCACGAAGAACCCCGAUUGCGAAGGCAGCUUACUAAACUGUGACUGACAUUGAUGCUCGAAAGUGUGGGUAUCAAACAGGAUUAGAUACCCCAGUAGUC
rnacentral:rRNA from 1 species